rnacentral:rRNA from 1 species
UACGAAGGGGGCUAGCGUUGCUCGGAAUCACUGGGCGUAAAGGGUGCGUAGGCGGGUCUUUAAGUCAGGGGUGAAAUCCUGGAGCUCAACUCCAGAACUGCCUUUGAUACUGAAGAUCUUGAGUUCGGGAGAGGUGGAGUGGAACUGCGAGUGUAGAGGUGAAAAUUCGUAGAUAUUCGCAAGAACACCAGUGGCGAAGGCGGCUCACUGGCCCGUAACUGACGCUGAGGCACGAAAGCGUGGGGAGCAAACAGGG